rnacentral:rRNA from 1 species
UGCCUGUAAGACUGGGAUAACUCCGGGAAACCGGGGCUAAUACCGGAUGGUUGUUGAACCGCAUGGUUCAGACAUAAAAGGUGGCUUCGGCUACCACUUACAGAUGGACCCGCGGCGCAUUAGCUAGUUGGUGAGGUAACGGCUCACCAAGGCGACGAUGCGUAGCACCUGAGAGGGUGAUCGGCCACACUGGGACUGAGACACGGCCCAGACUCCUACGGGAGGCAGCAGUAGGGAAUCUUCCGCAAUGGACGAAAGUCUGACGGAGCAACGCCGCGUGAGUGAUGAAGGUUUCGGAUCGUAAGCUCUGUUGUUAGGGAAGAACAAGUGCCGUUCAAAUAGGGCGGCACCUUGACGGUACCUAACCAGAAAGCCACGGCUAACUACGUGCCAGCAGCCGCGGUAAUACGUAGG